GGGGCCAUAGCUCAGCUGGGAGAGCGCUUGCAUGGCAUGCAAGAGGUCGGCGGAUCGAUCCCGCUUGGCUCCACCA
rnacentral:tRNA from 1 species